rnacentral:rRNA from 1 species
UGGGGAAUCUUGGACAAUGGGCGCAAGCCUGAUCCAGCCAUGCCGCGUGGGUGAAGAAGGCCUUCGGGUUGUAAAGCUCUUUUACCAGGGACGAUAAUGACGGUACCUGGAGAAUAAGCCCCGGCAAACUUCGUGCCAGCAGCCGCGGUAAUACGUAGGGACCAAGCGUUGUUCGGAUUUACUGGGCGUAAAGCGCGCGUAGGUGGUUUGUUAAGUUGGAUGUGAAAUCCCCGGGCUCAACCUGGGAACUGCAUCUGUGACUGCAUAGCUAGAGUAUGGUAGAGGGGGAUGGAAUUCCGCGUGUAGCAGUGAAAUGCGUAGAUAUGCGGAGGAACACCGAUGGCGAAGGCAAUCCCCUGGACCUGUACUGACGCUCAUGCACGAAAGCGUGGGGAGCAAACAAGAUUAGAUACCCUAGUAGUCCCUGAGCGGGCUGGCAAGGCGCAU